rnacentral:lncRNA from 1 species
GGUGCCCUGAGACUGGCUAGUUGGGGGUGGUGAGACUCAUUCCAUAGAAACUGAAACUUGGGAUCAUGGACUUUGCUACUGGGAAGUAAGUAACCUCCACAUUUGGAACUAUUGUCCUCUGAUGAUUUCACAGGCCAGUUCUCUGCUGAAAAGUGAAGCUGUGGGUAGGUAGCCUGGGUUGAGGUAAUAGACUGUUGAUUUUGAGUUGGGGCUUGUCUUGGCCUCCCUAGCAUUUCAGGUGAUCAGUAUGGGCCUGGUUUCUGGUCCCUCCAUUUCUCUAAGUAUCACAGGGAAGCCCUUCCUCUGUAGGAGUCUUACGUCUGGCUUUUUUUUUUUUUUUAAAGAGUACGAACACGAGUCAUUCUGGUCUCCCUUCCUUUGUUUCAAAUACCACGGCAGGGGUGUCUAGUGCUUAAACAUAAACACUGGCUGUUUUCUAUUACUGGUGUGUCCUGCGUCCUAUAGCCCUCUGUCUCCCAAGCUUUUCCAUGCAGCCCUUUGAUUAAUAACUCCUGUCUGGCUUUACCUCCUUCCCUUGGCUCCAACCUGGUUGGGCAAUGGCUAGAUCUGCCUCCUAGUCCAAAAGUAUCUUAAGCACUGCCUGUGACUCUUGACUAGCGACUUCUCAUUGUUAGGGGGAAAGGAGGGAGCUUAAAGGCAGACACUGGGAUUGUCCCAGAGACAAGGAGAGAGAUGGUUGAUGGGGUGUGUGUACUGUCCAGUAACACCAAAGUGGACUUGUGCUUUCUCUGUUUUCAUGUGCACCCUGUCAGACUUAACUCUUCUACUCAUAGAAGCCUUAGAUCUACAAUUUAGCUAUGCAAAUUAUCUGUAACAAUUUAAAAAUAGCAGUUUCAACCAGUGCUUUCUCAGUCAAAUGUAGUCCAAGAAUCGAUAGUCAAGGCAUUUAAUUGGCGUGGGUUCUGAGGUUGGGGCUGGUACAGUGGGAGCGAGCGAGUCCAGAUCUCUAUAACUUGUAGAACGCAUUCAGAGCUUGGGUUACAUGGAUGUCCCUCAGACCUCGGAACACUGAGCUCCCAGAGUUGUCUCUGUUACAUGGACUCCUCUCAGACAUUGGAAUACUGAGUUCCCAGAGUUGUAUGUCUGUGUGUAUGCCCUGCUAGCCAGGAAGAGGGCUGUUUCUGUGUUCACAAAUAGUAAAUUAGUAGAAACAAUUUCAGUAGGGAACUGGAACUGGUUUUUAAGCAGCCAGGAAGUAAAUGGGAAUUCUGAGAGGAACACGUGACUGCUGUACACUCCAGCAGUCAUCCUGGGCUUGGAGCGUACUUCAUCUUUGCAGCAGCCAUAACUCUAGACAGGCCUCCUGGCUAAAGGUUUCUCUGUGAUAACAUGCAGCUUAUGUUGUAUAAGGGUGGGGGUGAGAUCAUAGGAGAUUGAAUUGCUUACUAGCUCCAUGGGCUUUGGCAACUCCCCUCCCUCCAACAACCCUAAAUAUCCUGCUUUUCAAAUGGACUUAUGGGGAAGUGUGCAUGCGCACCAAGCAUGAGCAUGUGCUGAGGGAAGCAGGAACCUCACAAUCUAUUGUGCUUAGAUUGGAAACCCGAGGUGGUAGUGGGUAUACCAGCUAUGCUUGUAAUCCUAGCCCUCAAGAAACUGAAGCAGGAAGACCAUUUUGGGCUAUGUAUACAGUGAGACCAUGUCUUUCAUGGAAUGUUUUAAGGGUCUCAAGAAGCCCAGUCACUCUGGUGUAUUCUAAAUCCCUGUUCUCUUUAACACUACUAAAUGAUGCAGAUACUUGCUACCUUAGGUCUGCUGUGUCCCCUCUGGGAGGGAUGGGGUAGCUAUUGAAGAAAGUAAGUGAACCACAUUAGGUCAGAGCCUUCUUAAUGGCUUAUCUCUUUAGUCCUUACCCCUUGAGUAACGCUACUUAAGUAUCUGUAUUCCUGGCUUAAAGAUUUUGUCUGGAACUCUUGUAGGAAUUAAUGUGUGGAUCAUAUAUUUAUAACUUACAACUAAAACUGAAGUUUCCCACUCUGGGAGCGUGAAGCAAGGAGCUGGGGUCUGUUUUGCUGAUUAGUUGAAACAGAAGAUCAACCAUAGAGGUGGGACUGCAAGUCGCAGGCAGUCAGUAUCUUUAGGUGUGACAUCCAUGGCUCUGGAACUGAGUCCUUGUCUACAGGGGAAGGUUUUUCUGGGGCGUUACAUUCCUUGUUCCUACACAGACCUUUUGUUUCCCACUUCCCUUUGCUUUCCACAUGCCCAGGUCUGAACCAUGGUUUUCUGUGCACUCUCAGCUAGGUUGCUCUUUCCCAGUAUUACUGCUGGGAGAAGUCCCCUUCCCCGAGGAUGACUUUCUGGCUCCACUGCUGACUAGUUCCCAGGAAAUCAGCACCUUAAACGGCCAAUCUGCCAAGUGCUGACCUGCCCACUGCUCACCUUCAGACCCUUCUGCCCCUGUGUAUCCAAAUCGGUGUAAUCCCUCAACGUCUGUUCUGUGCCACUAGCUUGGCUUUAAGCCGUUUAUGAAUACGUGAGUCCUAUGAUGAUGAACUAAUACGCAGGCAGUGUCCACCCUCUUUGCUUUUCAGGGACCCAAGUCUGCGCCUUUCCCCUGCCAUGAGUCUGUUUGCUAUAGUCAUCUAGUGUGCUGGGGAGAGAGAGCCAGGCAGGCUGCAUAGUAAUCUACAAUGUAGAGGGCUGAGGGAGGUUUGGGCACUCUCUACUACCACUACUAGGAUGAUAUUCAGACAAGAGAGGACCUCAUACUGUGACCUGAACCCAGGACCCUCCCUGGAAGAGAGCUCAGCCCAGCUGUGUUUGAGUGAAUGUGUGUAUGUGUUUGCAUGUGUGUGCUCAUGUGCACUGUGGUGUAAAAUGACUGUUAUCUGGUUGUAACUCAGGGCAGGCUGGGGACUCACCAGAAGAUUCCUUCAGGCCUGCCCGAAACAGAUUUUUUUCCUUGUACCCUCUUCAGAGGGAUCAGAGAGAGGGUCCAGGUGGGUUGAAGGGGUUGCAACAGAUAACCACUAAGGCCACACUGCUGCCAGAGGAGUUGGGGGGGAGGGGGAGGGAGAUGAGGCUGCCCCAAGGCUCUGGUACCUGGCUUUAGUUUUCUGUCUUCUUUCCUCAGGAUGCCCCUGAGGCCCAGGACCUGUGCCUGGCUUAGAGGACCAUCUGUGGCUGGGUGGUCCAGCUGCUGGUGUGAUCAUGGGCUUCCCUCCUCUCUCAGCAGGGCAGACACGUCUGCUCCAGGGACUGGGCGACUGGCUGUUUCUAUGACGUAUUUAUUUUUACUUGUGUUUCAUGUCACUUUUUUAAAAAAAAAAAGCAAACAGAACAAUUGUAAGUCAGUAUAACUGCCUAUCAGUUUUCUUUAUUUCUCUUUUUGUAAAAUAAAGUUUAAACUC